ACUCUUCUCUCUUUCUCUCCUCUCAAGCGUGAUCUCACAUUUUUAUUUUCAGUAUUCAUGUGAGUGGCUUAUUUUGCAAAAUCUUAGUUAGACGCCAGAGUCGGUGGAGGAUUUCUGCGGUAGAGUAGAGCUGAAAUUUUCAGUGAUGAUCGGGAAGAAGCUGAGUGGUUAUCUAUGCCUCUUUCUGAUCUUAAGAGUGCUUGCAAAUGAAAUAAUGUCUCUUCGAGCAAAGGGGCUUCUACAUUUGGUCCCUGUAGAUUCCUUUGUUAGAUUGUGAAGGAUUUUAGAUCAUCAGAUACAUCGAGCUGAAGGCUUGUCUAUAAGUGAAUGUGAGCAGUCAAAUUGAGAUGUGGUUUCAUCAAUAAAUUGUGCACUAGAGUCCAUUCAUGCAGCUUUAGCAGUAAUGGCUCAUAACCAGAUGCCAAAACAACUAUAUAAAGAAGAGUUGAGGAAGAUGAAGACCCUGAUGCUGAAAUUGGUUCAGCAAGUAAGAAACGACACAGUAUCAAGACCGUUAAAGUGCAUAAAUCGUCAUUUAACAGGGUCUCUGCUGCUGUGAAUAAUAUUCUUCAGAAAAUGUGCACCAUUCUUGGUUUACUCAAGGAUUUGUUGUUAAUAGAAAGGUUGUCAGAUGGUUGCAUCUUACAACUAGUGAAAACAAGCUUUACAACAUUCAUGGUGAAUGAUAUCCAGCUCUUGCAACUGAAGGCAAUGUGUUUAAUCAGUGGGAUAUUCUAUUCAUACACUCAGCAUCGGACUUAUGUUAGAUGAAUUAAUUCAGCUGCUUUGGAAGUUACCGUUCUCAAAGCGAGCUUUGAGAGCCUAUCACCUACCUGAUGAAGAGCAAAGGCAGAUUCAAAUGAUCACUGCUUAGCUCAUUCAGUUGGUUCACUAUAGUGCUAACCUUCCUGAACCAUUAAGGCAGGAAUCAAGUGGUAAUUCCAUCUUAGAACUUUCUCUCGAUGCCGAUUAUCCAACUAAAGGCCAUGAGGCAGCAACAGAGGCGUGUUGCCACUUUUGGACUCGUGUACUUCAACGUUUUGCUAGUGCGAAGACUCAGGAAGCUUCGGAGUUGAAAGUAAUGACGGAGAAUCUUGUUACUGUUCUGCUGACAACGUUGAAUUUACCUGAAUAUCCCGCUUCAGCUCCUAUUAUGGAGGUUCUUUGUGUCUUGUAACUCCAGAAUGCCGGGCUGAAAUCUAAAGACAUAGGUGCUCGUACCAGGGCGAUUGACCUUCUUGGCACAAUUGCUGCGAGAUUGAAGCGUGAUUCUGCCCUUUGCAGUAAGGACAAAUUUUGGAUACUACAGGAGUUGGUUAGUGUGGAUGGGGAUGAUCAGACUGAUCCAAAAAAUGCAUGCUCAGUUUGUUUAGAUGGUAAGGGUUGAAAAAAAUUUCUUUGUAUGUCAAGGUUGUUUUGACAUGCGGCACCUAAUC